rnacentral:rRNA from 1 species
AUUGAACGCUGGCGGCAGGCCUAACACAUGCAAGUCGAACGAGUGGCGGACGGGUGAGUAAUGUCUGGGAAACUGCCUGAUGGAGGGGGAUAACUACUGGAAACGGUAGCUAAUACCGCAUACCAUCAGAUGUGCCCAGAUGGGAUUAGCUUGUUGGUGGGGUAACGGCUCACCAAGGCGACGAUCCCUAGCUGGUCUGAGAGGAUGACCGGCAACACUGGAACUGAGACACGGUCCAGACUCCUACGGGAGGCGGCAGGGGGGAAUAUUGGACAAUGGGGACAAGCCUGAUGCGGCCAGGCCGGGGAGAUGAAGAGGGCCUUCGGGUUGUAAAGUACUUUCAGCGGGGAGGCGUUACCCGCAGAAGAAGCACCGGCUAACUCCGUGCCAGCCGCCGCGGUAAUAC